rnacentral:rRNA from 1 species
UAGGGAAUCUUCCGCAAUGGACGAAAGUCUGACGGAGCAACGCCGCGUGAGUGAAGAAGGUUUUCGGAUCGUAAAACUCUGUUGUGAGGGAAGAACAAGUACCAAGUAACUACUGGUACCUUGACGGUACCUCACCAGAAAGCCACGGCUAACUACGUGCCAGCAGCCGCGGUAAUACGUAGGUGGCAAGCGUUGUCCGGAAUUAUUGGGCGUAAAGCGCGCGCAGGCGGUCCUUUAAGUCUGAUGUGAAAGCCCACGGCUCAACCGUGGAGGGUCAUUGGAAACUGGGGGACUUGAGUGCAGAAGAGGAAAGUGGAAUUCCACGUGUAGCGGUGAAAUGCGUAGAGAUGUGGAGGAACACCAGUGGCGAAGGCGACUUUCUGGUCUGUAACUGACGCUGAGGCGCGAAAGCGUGGGGAGCAAACAGG